CCUUUGUGUAUCCUUUGUGCCCGGACGACCUUCUGUGUGUUCUGUGAUGCAUUGUUACGAUGAUGUAUGUGAGCACAUACAUGCUAUCUCUCUCGUUUCCAUGCCAUCUUGCUUGUUCCGAGUACCCUACAGAUCGACGAACCAUCUCCUGUCGGCGCGAAGGCCGUGAAGCGACUGCCUCGGCCGGUGAUGCCAGACAGGUGGCACUCUCGUAGACCAUUCGGUUGUAUGGUUUCGUUCAUCGGAUUUACCUUGUCGUGUCUAACACCUCUGUGUUGAUUGCGAGGUAAAUCGGGUGAUCAACUGAUCAUGGACUCUGCCGCCGAAUCGUUGCUCCACUGAUUCCUUCCGUUGGACCCCGUCCACUUGAAUUGAUGGACCAACAAUGGAUGUAUGGCGAUCGGUGCACCAUGGCAUGGAUUAAUGAUCUGAAGUUUUUUCUCGAUGUGUCUGAGACCCACAAGUCAUAGAAAGGUUUUCCCAUACACCUCAUCAUCAGUAUUCAACCUGCUUACUGUCUAUAUGAUAUACGUAGGGAGGAUAAGGCUUAUAAGAUGGUGGACGCUAUGUACCUCAAGUUCUAUAAGAUUAUCUUGAACGCUAUAUUAGCCUCAUAAAUUCAAAAAUAUAAGUUACUAUAGCAUUCUAUAUCUAGGUAAUUCUCAGAAAAUUAUGUAAGAAGUUUAAGAUAUUUGGCAUGUUGGAGACAUCUUCUUUC